rnacentral:rRNA from 1 species
GGCUCAGAAUGACGNUGGCGGCAGGCCUAACACAUGCAAGUCGAACGGUAACAGUUAGUGCUUGCUCUUCGCUGACGAGUGGCGGACGGGUGAGUAAUGCUUGGGAACUUGCCUUUGCGAGGGGGAUAACAGUUGGAAACGACUGCUAAUACCGCAUAACGUCUACGGACCAAACGGGGCUUCGGCUCCGGCGCAAAGAGAGGCCCAAGUGAGAUUAGCUAGUUGGUAAGGUAAAGGCUUACCAAGGCAACGAUCUCUAGCUGUUCUGAGAGGAAGAUCAGCCACACUGGAACUGAGACACGGUCCAGACUCCUACGGGAGGCAGCAGUGGGGAAUAUUGCACAAUGGGGGAAACCCUGAUGCAGCCAUGCCGCGUGUGUGAAGAAGGCCUUCGGGUUGUAAAGCACUUUCAGUUGUGAGGAAAAGUUAGUAGUUAAUACCUGCUAGCCGUGACGUUAACAACAGAAGAAGCACCGGCUA